rnacentral:rRNA from 1 species
AGAAUCAACGCUGGCGGCGUGCCUAACACAUGCAAGUCGAACGCGAAAGUCCCGCAAGGGAUAAGUAGAGUGGCAAACGGGUGAGUACCACGUGGGUGACCUGCCCUCGAGCGGGGGAUAACGUCCCGAAAGGGACGCUAAUACCGCAUGACAUCCUGCCUUUGAACAGGCGGAGAUCAAAGCUGGGGAUCGCAAGACCUAGCACUCGAAGAGGGGCCCGCGCCUGAUUAGCUAGUUGGUGGGUAACGGCUCACCAAGGCGACGAUCAGUA